GGUUCCAUAGUGUAGCAGUUAGCACGUCUGCUUUAUACGCAGAAGGUCCUGGGUUCACACCCCAAUGGAUCCA
rfam:Pteropus alecto contig25591, whole genome shotgun sequence.